GGAGAUCACUACUCUUGGAGCCCUUCUACAAGCACAGGAUAUGGACUAUGGAGUCUGGAAAGAAGAAAAUGAACCAUGCUGCUUGAGUAGGUUGACCUGACUGAAAGCACAUUCAGAGAGAGAACACUCUGAGGAAGCCAGUGCUAUUUUUCCUAAAUGAUAUUGGUUAAGAGCAGCUGGAUAACAGCAGAUCAGCAGUUUCUCUCUGUCAUUUUUUCUGAUCAAGUCUGAUGAAGUAGGAAAAUGUUCAAAAUGAGGAUGAGGAAAAUGUAGAGACAAAAUGUAUACUGACCUUUAGUGGAUGCAGAGCUGAAGCAACUGGAAGGAAACCAGAGGAAAAAGUAUGGUGUGAUGCAGGCAACAGACAGGAGAACUGGAUCCUGGGAGAAAGCUUCUUAGCUAAGGCUGUCUGCAAUAAGUUCAGAGUUCCUAAAGCCAAUGCCCAAGGAAGAAGAAACACAGUGUCAUAUCACCUGAUGAAAUUAAGCUUUUUAUUCCCUGCCUAAAUCUUCUGUCUGGUAGCAAAGUAAAAUUCAGACUCUUCUCUGUCUUGCAGAGUGGGGAGUUGGGCACACGCUGACCUCUCAGCAGUGAUUCUAUGGACUGAGUUACUGAGAUAGGGAACAGCGAAUGUGUCCGAUUCUCUUCUAGUUCUGCCACUUUGCUGUGCAGAUCAGUUGGGCUCUAACUUUGUGUACACUGUUUCUGAAAAUCCCUUUCAAGUUACUUAUGCCACUCUUUCAACCUUUCUUCAACAAAGAGCAAGUUUAAAACGAGGAGGAGCAGCACAACAUUCAGUCUAAUAUGCUGUGAAGUACACAACGAUGCUCAGGAAGAAGGAUCUCUAGGUGGAAAAUAAUGUCCUGCAAGAAACCAGAUGCUGGUGAAGCUCACUGCACUAUCAGCACAGCCAUGAACUGUGAUGGCAGACUGCUCACAUGUAACCUGUGGCCUUCUUUGAUCAUUUGGAGCAUACUGACUCGACGGUAACGUAGAGAUUAACAUAUCCUCUCAUGGAGAGCCUUACAUAUACAGUGUAAGAGUUCAAAUGAAAGCAAUAAAACCAGCAUGGCACUCUCUCAUCGUGAUGAGUGGGAAGAGUGAAAAAUGAGAAGGAAAAACACAAAUUAGUUUUGUCCUAGCUUAUUCUCCAGCCUUAAAAACAUGAGAAACAAAAGCAGAGGUUCAGACUAUUUAAGAGUGAUGUGUAAUUAUCUGCAGUGCUAACAGUGACAAGGUUUGCAUUUGCAAUGGAAGUGUAAGGAUUCUGCAGAAAUUAUUUCUCAGGCUAGACAAAAAGAUGCCUUCUGAUUGUUCUCAUAGCAAAUGUCACUCUUGUAUAGGAUAACACGAAAAAUGCAGACAUAAGGGGG
ensembl:lncRNA